GUNGGUNGUCGGCACGAGCGCAACCCCCUAUCCUUAUUUGCCAGCGCAUAAUGGCGGGAACUAUAAGGAGACUGCCGGUCAUAAACCGGAGGACGGCGGGGACGAGGUCAAGUCAUCAUGGCCCUUAUGGGUAGGGCUACACACGUGCUACAAUGGGUGGUACAGAGGGUCGCCAAAGCGUGAGCUGGAGCCAAACCCUUAAAACCAUUCUUAGUCCGGAUUGGAGUCUGCAACUCGACUCCAUGAAGUCGGAAUCGCUAGUAAUCGCGAAUCAGAAUGUCGCGGUGAAUACGUUCUCGGGCCUUGUACACACCGCCCGUCACGUCAUGGAAGUGGGUUGCACCAGAAGUGGUUUGUUUAACCUUCGGGAGAACGGUCACCACGGUGUGAUUCACAACUGGGACGAAGUCGUAACAAGGUAGCCCUAGGGGAACCUGGGGCUGGAUCACCUCCUU
rnacentral:rRNA from 1 species